rnacentral:lncRNA from 1 species
AACAAACUGCAGCAACACAUGGAUUUGCUGUGGUGUGUACCUGCAGUGUUCAUCUGCUCCUUUUUUUGUGAUGCAAAAGAAAAUUCAAAGUUCUUCAGAAGCAAAUGCUCAGCAGGUGCAGGCUUUCUGAACAGAACCUCUGCAAAAGAAUGAGCUUUCCUUUGAAGCCUUCUUGUACAGCCACCUACUUUAGACGUUCCAUUCAACUAAUACACUUAAGUGCAUUUCUCCCCUUACUUUCACUGAGGACCCCUUGUUCCUGUUCUCCUUUCUUCCUGCACUCUUCUUUGCACAGCAUCUUGUCAAUAUCAAAUUGUUUAAUGCAACUUGAAAUAAAGAAGUGCACAUACAGGGACUAUUCAAAUGCUGCUUAUAUUCCCCCCUGGUUAGAAAUUGCUACUGGACUUUCAGAAACUGAUGUGCUUUGAAUUACGCAUAGCCUUCCCAAAGAAUUGAAGCCCAACUGGAGAGCAGGAUGCAGAAGCUGAUUGGCUGUGCUAGUGGUGCAGUAAGAAGCUCUACCUUUACGCCGUGUAUGCUGAACACAUCUGCAAUAAGGAAAGUACAGGUCAACUAAGCAAGGAGAGUAAAGCCUUAACACUCUGCUUUGUUUGCUAACAACAGAGUACAAUAAAGUCUUCCCCAAAUAUAUAAAGAUGUGAAUCCAGUGCUCAAACUACUGUGGGGGUGGAACCAUGCUUCAAUUUGUUGGUUAUUUUUUUCCCUGAAGUACAACAAAGGGAUGAUAUUGGUUUGUAGCAGGCAGUACCUCACAGGCACUGGUGCAGCGGUGCUUCCAAGUUGCAUGUCUUCCCCAGCUUUCUUCCCUUCCCCAAACACCACGCAAAAGAUUACAGCAUUAUUCCUUCCUCCUUUUCUGUCUCCCCAUAAGGAGGAGGGGGAACUCUGUGGAAGCUGCACUGUUCUUCACUCCUAUCUCCACAAAAAAGUGGAAAGACCAACUCUCAGCAAUCCAAGUUUAAAUAUGGAUUCCCAGCUUCUCUUACACCUUUGAAAUGAAACAUUUUGAAGCGUUAACCUGCAUUAAGUGUCUGCUGUACAUCUGAAUGGGGGGAAAUAAAAGGAGAAAUUUAGCUCAAUCCUCCUGCAAAUGGAUGCUUUGUGAUACGUACUACUGUGUCAAUCUCUGCUGGAUCCACCAUCCGAGAUACCUCAUCAAACUCUUCAGGAGACAUAGGCAGCAGAUUUUCUGGAGAUUGGAGCCUGGAUGGGUGGCUAAUAGGAGAAGAGAGAGAAACGUUCACUAAAAAAGUGAGGCACAGCUGGGCUACCAUGUCUGCCUUUGAGUCCAGAAUUUCCAUUAACUGUAGGGCAGCAGUUAGGUCAGGGCUUGAAGGGGUAAUGGAGCACCUGGUGAAGGGCUGUGCGUGGCCCAGGGAGCACAAAUUGUAUGAACCUGUGCUCCGCAGCUGACCAGAAGAGGCAGACUGAGAGUGGAGCCACUCAGGGUCAUAUAAAGGCCAGCCACUGAAGGGAGAACACCUCUUAGAGCUGGGCUGCUUUGUUGGGGGGAGUGCUGUAUUGUUAGUCCCUUCACCAGCUGGGGGAGUCUGACUCUUCUUUCUGUAUAUGACUAUUGGCCUAGCUGUGAAUGUUUUGCCUUGGAUUUUUUUUUGUUUGUUUGUUUUGUUUUAAUGGUUUUUUACUUAAAGAUUUUAAUUGCUUCAGCAAUUAAAAGUACACAAAGGUGAGAUGAUCACAUUCUUAAAGAGAGGAAAAGAUUUGUUGGUGGCACCUACAAAUUGAAUGUUAUGAACACUGAUGAACUACAGCUGAAAAUAUCAUGCAUAGUUCGUAGAAAUCCAGCAUUUAUGUGAGAACUUACACUUCAGAUACAGAGAUUAAUUCAGUCCUAAUGUAGCCGUUUCCCUUGGGAGUAUCUGUAUCCAUAGGCUCUGGGGCUUCAAGGAAAGACAAAAAAAUAAAUGCCUUGUUUUUUUUUAUUAGCAAGUUUACCUCAUGCUGCUAUGUUUGUUAUUCCAAAUACAGCUUGUGGCCAAAACAAUACAUAGGUCUCUCUUGUGCAUUUUAUGGCAUUGUGGUUAAUUCAUUUCAUUUCUUGGCCAGUUUUUGCUUUUCCACUACUGAAACAGGGGAACAGUCUCCCCUAAAGUUUCAUAUAGUUGUAUCAAUAUAUCCCAUCUGGCCCCAGUAUCAGUGUAGUGUAAUAGUAAAUAUGACCCUUACGGAUCUAGCUGUUAGUAAGAACCUACUCUUCUGAAAUAUAUCACAGGCAAACAUAAAACUGCAUUAGAGGCUACAGACAAUCAUGCUCUCAGUUUCUGAGCUGAUUAGUGUUGUUCCUCUCUAACAACCUUUUCUUAACCUACUGAAGUACAGGUGCUGGUUCUCAGCUUCUAGCUAAGCAGCACUCCAGUAUGGGUCAGGCUGCCAAGAUCUUCAGUCCCACUGCUGCCUCUUCUUUCUAUGCCAUGGAAAUGAUUCAGUGCCCGAGUAUCUCAAGAACGAACACUCAACACGAGCCACUUAUAGCACUUACCCUCCUUAGGCCUGGAGUAGUAUUUGCCAAAGGCGUUGUCUUUGGGAAUAUCUGGGUACAGAAAUCUCAGUGGAUUUUCAGGAAUGUUUUCAGCUGCCAUCACUUUGUAGUUGCGAAUGAUAUCAGGGAAAGUAACAGCAGAGAGCUCCUUCUUGGUGUAUGGUUCUACUGAGUGGAACUGGGGCUCUACAGAUGAGAGAAUAAAUUGCUCUUAGAGUUAGUGCUACCUGGGCAACCUUCUGUCAGCUGAUGACACUUAAAUUUCAUUUCUUAUUAGGAAGUUUGAUUUUUAGAAUGCCACUGAGAAGCUCUUAUGAAAAACAAGAGACAUAUGAAGCCUUCGUGAAAGCUCCAAAUCCUGCCAUCUAUCCUUCCUCAGUUUUGGACUUGGGUAUGAGGACAGCAAAGGGAAAGAAUGAAGAGGUGAUUCAAGCACAUUCAGUGCUUUCCUUCUUCCAGCAGUAAGCAGCCUUGGGCUCAUCCAAGUGAAAUGUCAAUAUCCAGGCAGGUAGAGUUGAUUUAAGCACUAUGAUGGGUCAGAGGCCUGGUAGGACUAUGGGGGUUGGAUCUUUCUGCAGCUUUAGGGUGUGCAGGCUCCCCUGAAUGAGGGUGAGAGGAAAGUAGCACAGCUAACUAAGGUAUCAAGUAGUUCAUCUGUCCACUCCCAUAUACUACAGGAAGGACAACUGUGAAGAAAAUGAGGUAAUGCAGUUUGCUUGGGAAGAACACGAGAAUAAAUGGGAUGGAGAAUGAGUUUAAGAAAGGCAUACUGCAUGCAAGAUGAAGGCAGAGAACAAUAGUACAGAGGAUCAAAUGCACCUGUAGUGAACAGUUCCUGGAAGAGGAAUCUCUAAAUGAGGUGCUAUGGGGCUAGAUGGAAGGAGACACCGAUGAUUUUUGUGUGUGUACACAUACAUGCUGAAGAUCUCUUGCUUAGAGGGAACCUCAUUAGGCAGGAAGACAGUGUGUUUGGUACAUGCUUAAGAAACAUUCAGGUCAGAAGCUGUAUCUGGGAAGUCUUACUAGACCUAGUUGAAAAUUAGCACUACCACCUGUAAGGCUUAUCAACUAUACCAAAUAAGGUGCGGAUCUGUUUGUGGCCUGUUGCUUGGCAGGGUGGAAUUGCUAGGGGUGUGUUGUGUUAUCUCACAGAGUGAAAGAGAAAUGCACGAAGACUUACUGCUCUGAACUAAGUGUAUACUUCUAAGACAGAGGUGUUCUCUGUUACCAACUUACCAUUUUGAGAUCCUUCUACCCAGGUAAAAGUGAUUGCUCCCUCUUUACUGCUUUCACUGAAUCUCAGUAAAAAUGUUCCUGGUCUCUGGUCCUUCAAUAAAGCACGUUCUUUGUCUUUACUGAUGAAACCCAUGAUACAGCUGUACAUGGGAGGGGGGGAAAAAAAGUUGAGUUAAACUUUCAAUACAAAAUCUAAGCUGUACUGGUCUAGCUAUGGAAACUAAAAAGCUUUUUUCCACUUAGAAGAGCUGAAGUAUAUAUGAAAGCCUCUUAGAAAGCUUUGUCCUGUUUGCAGCUGGGAAGCCAGCAGUGGGACUGACAGGCUGGAGCUGCACUGUAGGAGCCAUGAAUCAGCACUGCUCCCCUCAUCACUCUUCAUUUUGCCUGGUGGCUUAUUUAAACAUUUACCUAAGCUUGGAAUAAAAUAAGCUGUCUCUUGCUAUCAAAAUUAGACUGUGGAAGCAGAAGUCAAGUUGUGUGUGCUGCAUGGUCAGAUCCUAAACAGCAGUUAGCUUCAAAAGCACAUAAACAACAAUCUUCUGCCUUCCCAUCCCUGAGCAGGAAGAAAGGCAAGCGUUCUCCUGAUACUUAGUUGUUUAUUAAAUGAGUCCCUGAAGUUGUGUUCUGUUCUUGUUAGCAGCUCAUUUAGUGUUUGGAAGUGAAACAAGGCCAUUAUAUAAGAGGCUUGACCAAACUUAUCUGGAACUGGACAGUUAAAACAGCUCUUGAAUGCUGCAAGAGCAAUUUCGCUGUAUGUCCUGCAGACCUGUGGGAUCCCCUAUGGUGAGUGAGCUGUUAAUAGGAUUUCUAAACAUGGAUAAAUACAAAGACUACUAAAAAUGCACAGUUGUGAACGUGACUGAACCUGUUCUUGGCAGAAGUUACUUCUGAAAUAGGUAAUAACAGAAAGCAAGGCUUUAUAAUGCAGUAUAAAAGGGCAAACAGAACCGAUACUCAAUUUCACAGUCUUACUACUCAUUAUUCUAUAAUUAUAGACUAGCUCAACUCACAUGGUAGAUAAAAUUUGGUGUUUGGCAGCUGCCACCUACCGGAGGCUCACUAGCAUUGUUCAUGGGAAUCGUUGUGGUUUUUUUUUUUUUUUUUUUUUUAACAUGGGUGAUAACUUGAUGAAUUAUACGUUGUUAUAUUUUGCUCUUCCCAGACAAACACAGAGGAGGCUCUGUUGUGUAGGAAGAAUCUACUUAUAGCAGAAGCAGAGGUCAAAAAAUGGAAUGAUCAGAGCCCUCCUCUGCAACUUGGUCAUGUGAUGUUUUUGCUUUAAGUAGCUGUCUCAGUGAAAUCUUCCACACUGCUAGAAUUUGUUUGCCUCAGGAUUUUUUCCUUCCAAGAUCCACUUGAUUCAAUUCAAAGUAUCAGCACAAACAACCUCACAAUGCAACCAUGAAGUGAGAGGUUUGAGGCUUGAUUAUUUGUUAAUUUAACUCGGGUCUUACCCAUCGUUCCAGAGGCAUAGGAGAUGUUUCUUAAUAAGUUCCAGGAUUCCCUCUAUCCACAGCCAAAAAGGGAAAUUUUUAUCAUUUAUGUUUUCCUGAAAUUCAGAGAUGGGGAAGCAUGAGUGUUAACUGGAGAGGAAGCAAGCUCUUUGGACCAAUGCCAUCAUCUUCCUGUUCUUGCAUGUUUCUUCCCUUUCUUCUUCACCCCACCUCUACUUCAAAGGGACACAAGAUAUUGGAAAUGAAUCAUGUACUGAAUCUUAAGACAAGAGGCAGGGAGAAAGAAAAGGCUGCCUGAACCUACAGUACUCACAGGUGUCACUGCUUAACUCUUAUACAACUGUGCUCAUUUAAGAAUACGGAAAAGGCUCUGGUUCUUGGAUGGGCAGGAAUAGGAAACAAAACAAACACUCAGAAAAACCCUCUUAAUUUCUUUUCUUCAGUGAGUUCAUACCUUACAGAAUCUUGUCCAAGGAAUAAGGCCAUCAUGAGAUCCUCCACUUGUUGGCCCUGAACAGAAUAUAUCAACUUCAGUCAAAAUCCAUACAUUACUGAAAGGAAAUACAGCAGCAAAUCCUGAGUGCUAACUUUACCACUUCAAGGUAGUGGACUAAGAAGGAAAAUAAAAGGAAGGCUACUGUAUUUUAUAGGCUAGCACAGAGAGCACUUGUAAAGUUCCCAUCUGAAAUUCACUCAAUGGGAAUGUAUUUAAGCAGGCCACAGAUUGCAAUACAAGCUUUGCCUAAUGGGAACCAAUUAAUUCUGACACCUUGUACGCUGUGCUAUGCUUGACAUUUAUCAGUUAAUCUUUUUACAGGAGCAUCUUGGAAAAAAAAAAGAAAACAUCUCUCUUCUACAGCAGAGCAAGUAAAUAGCAAGCCAUAAGCUUUUUUUGUAGGAGCUCAGCAGACUCUACAACAUCUUUAAGAAUUUUCCUAAAAUGAUAGAAUGGUUUGGGUUGGAAGGGCCCUUGAACAUAAUCUAGUUCCAACCCCCUGCUGUAGGCAGGGACACCUCCUUCUAGAUCAGGUUGCUCACUUGUAAACUUGUAGGCUUUAGUCUCAGAAACUGACUCCUAGAUCUGUCCCAACUACACUCUUCUCGUUCCUGCUGCAAUCAUUUCCCCUCCUUGUUUUGAUAGUGUGUUUCAUAAUUGCAUCAAAACUGCAAAGAAACCCCUGUGCUGUGACCACAGUACCUAGAGCUUUGCAGACUAUGAAUACAUCUGGGACCUGAUUCUUUCCGUUACAGACUAUACUAUGAAUCUAGAAUUUUUUUUUUUUUUUUAUAAAUAACUACUUUUUAGGUGCAGAAAUGAGAUUUAAAUACCAUCCUACUGAAUCCUUUCUGAAACUUAAAUAUUAGGGAAUAUACCAAAUCAACAGUACUUUUAUUCUGAGUUUCCUAUGCAAACGCAGUAGCUGUGACAGAUGCUAUCAGGCAAACUGACAUGUAGUUCAGAAAACAAAACCCAUGGCUGAUCAGACUCUUACUAAGGAUGCUGCUCUUGGAGAAUCUUAAUUUGAUAUAUUUCAGUAGUUCCAUAAUGUAUGUGCUUAAAUAUUGCAACCAUAUAUGGGCAGACAGAGUCAGCAUUCCUUGCUGGGGGCAUAUGUUGAGUUAAAGCUACUGGAGAUAAAAGUAAUAAUAAUAAAAAAAGGCAUGUUCUGUAGUUUUUCAAAAGGCACAAGUAGCCCUAAUUAGUGCUGCCCUGGCGUACAGAACUCCAAGGCUAGGACUACAGAUUUCUCAUCAUCUGAACUUCUUUUGCAAACUCUUAUUGUAUUGAAACUGCAAAACACUGCAUUGCUACAGUGUGAUAUUGUGUAAUGGGAAAAGGAGUGAUAAGAUGCAGAAACUUAAAAUAAAUUGUAGAAAACACGUAGAACUUGCUUCAGUUCAAACAGGCUACCUGCUUGUUCAGAUGAACCAAAAAGCCUAGUUAUAGAAGCAGACCAUACCAAGUAGUUUCUCUCCCAGCAUGUUCAGCUGAUCCGCGUUAAGUCCUCUUUUUGUCACAGAAGAAAACUGCCAGCUCAGAACUUCAGAAAGUUUAGACCACUUCGCACAAGGUGGGUUUAGAAAGAAGGACAAAUUCUAGAACAGAAUGGGAAAAUACAAUGUACAGUUAGUAAGCGUAAAUUCAAGCUGUACUCCAGCUUGAAUGCUUGAAAACUGCAUUUCUGAUACAAUUUCAGGAACUGUGCAGACUGCUCUACGUGCAGGAAGAGAAGUGUUUUUGUUUUGCUUGUACCUUGGGAUCAGUAGACAGCAUGUUGAACCAUAAGAUAGAAGCCCAUCCGCUUGGAAGCUGGCUCACAUUAGAGAUGACAAUGAUGGGAAGUGAUGUGGUCUGAAAGGGACACAUAAGCAUGUCAGAGCAUUCUGUAUCCCUGCUGCAGUCCUUCAUUAAAUAACUCACAAACCUGUUGCCAUUCUAACUCCCUGCUUGUAUUGCCUUAUCUCUUUCAUUGAAAACAUACAUGCAAGUGGGAGAUUUUCAGUAUGACAUACUAGAAAGAGUUAGGUGAUUUUGUCAAAUAGAGGUGUGACAUAGAGUAAGUUAAUUCCAUUUCCUUCAUUUAAGCCUUACCUCUAGCUCUAUUACUAAGCCAGGCUGGCACAGCUGUGUCUCGAAACUCAGAGAGUGAAGUUCUUCUGUUACAAUAAGAGGACCCUUUGAUGAUGAAGGAAAAAAAAAAAAAAAAAAAAACGUUAGGAUUUUCUAUAGGGGAAAUUCCUCUUUCCCAAGGUUACUGGCUCUGGGAUGCUCCUUGUCUGGACUUCAGAAAGGGUUUACAGGCCUGUCAAGUGAUAAUGCUGAUUUCCUUGAACUUUGUGUUAGGAUGGGUAUUUGCUCAGCAUCUCUGUUUUGGCUGCUACCUAGAAGACAGAAAAGUCUGCAAUUACUGGGAAGCCCUGUUUAAGUUAGUGAAGGAGAGUCCAGAGGGACACCAUUCUGGCAGUAGCUCUCAUAUGCAAGUAUCUCCCACACAGAUCAUUUUCCAGAAGUACUCAACUCUACUGGUCGUGAAUCUCCUCUGUUUUUUUGUGGGGCUGAAUGGAGCACUGUCUUAAAUAUUUGAAUGUCUUUUUGGCUUUGUGAACGAGGUUACUGUUGCAUACCUCAUUUGUUCUGUUCCCUGCAUUUUUCUGUUCUUUCAGUUGCUGCAAAAAAAAAAACCAAACAAAAAAAUCUGUCACUCAUUUAUUUUAGCCAGUAGUAUAUGCAAAUGUUUACGUGCUGUAGUUCCUUAACUGCAUGUAAACUUGCUGCACUAGUGUCUGCUCCCACUUGGUACCAGUCUUUUAUUAAGUAUUCAUCUGUGAAAAUAUAAUCUGCACCAUUAGGAUGCAAUGUCUUUAUAUGAAGACUUUAUAGGAACAAAAGCAGAAUGAAAUCAGGAAGGAUCAGAUGAAAUACUGGUUUAUUAAACUAAACCUCAGAAUUGGUUGUACCAGUUCUGGAAACUGGUAGUGUUCCUUCUGGAUAACAAAGAGACUUCUACAUUAACUGGUUCAGGACUUGUAUUUUUUUCCUUUGCUGUUGCAAUGACAGAACCAACCUAAUUCCCUUGUCACGCACUCUACAUCCAGUGUUGUAUAGUCUAAAGACACUGAAUUUCUUGUUGAAAUGGUUGUGAAUUUCUUAGACUGUUUUCUUCUUCCAGUCUCAAAGGAUCUUUAAACUAUUCCAUGUUCUUCCUUCUCUGGGUCCUCUUCAGAAAAAGCAAAAAUGGUAUGUCUAGGCUUCUACUCUUUCUCCAACCAACUCCUUACAGGAUAAACCAUAUAGCAGCAAAGAACUUUUUUGCCUUUCUGGCCCUAUUUCAAUGACAAAAGCAGUAGCACUUCAAUUGAAACAGGCCAAAGAUCUCGAAAAGGGAAGAUAAUGUUAAUUAACGGUUCCUCUUUCACAAGGAACCUAUUUCCUACCACACCCUCUGCCCACACAAAUGUGUCAAUAAAAGAAAAAGUCUCCUACCAAGUGCCUGAAUUCUGCUGCUAAACUUCCAUUAGUAGAUUCUUCCAUGUUCAUUACUUUUGUAUUUGUUCCCAGAAUAUUAAAUUUCCUGAAUCUACACAAAGAGAGAAAACAAUUAGGGGCCUGAAAUCAUUGUAAGAAUCCAACUUCAAUAUGUCAAACUGAGAGGCUACUUACCCUUUGACUGAGUUCUUCUCAUUUACAUCUCUGUCAAAAAAGAAAAAUUAAAAAUCUUCUAAAGAUUCUGCAUACGGAAAAUCUGCUUGUUCUAAUAGUUGACUGAGAACUGGUAAAAUGCCUGUGUGAAAUCUCUUGUGUAAGAGAAGCAAUUGGUUUGAGCAGUCAAAACAAACAUUGCCUUAUACAAGGAAAGGAAUGCAACAUACUUAUCAAAUAGAACUUUCACUUUCAGGUUGUAGUUCAAUUCCUGCAAUUUCACCAGUAAUCUGGGAGGAAGAACAAAAAAACAAAAUGACUACCACUGCAAAAGAUAGCAGCACUAAAGAGGAAAAACUUACCACAGAUAUAUUUAAUCUGCAGAGCUCAAAAUCAUGUAUUGGCCCCAAGCUUGCUCUGUAUAAGCUAAUGAAGAUUAAGUGACAGGAUAGAUUAGCAGUGUCUGUACAACUGACCCCAGCUCCUGAUGUAGGGAUAAAAAUAGAUUGGCAAAUGAGUUAUUUACAUGAUUGAAUGGUCUGCCUGUAUCUGACCUACUACUGUCUGGUUGUGUUUCUCAGACACUCAAUCAUCACCACACCUGGUCAAGGGUACAGACUGGAAGUUAAAUGUGUUAGAAGACAUACUGCUGCCACAUCACAUUUCCCUUGCCGCCCUGAGCUCAGCUCAGCACUUGGGCUACCUGUAAGGUGUGCAAUCCUCCCAGCCAUAGGAAGCCAAUCAAAUGAAAGGCUUAACACCAAAGAAGGAGAAACAGAAAACAUACCUCAGCUUCACAGUAAACUGUACCCCUGUCUUCAGGACUAAUGGCCUCUGUGGAUGUGUUGGCAUGCAAGGCUGCCUCUCUACCACAAAGGAGCUAUGGAAAGAACAGAUUAAUGCUUUGACUUAUUAAUAUAUUCUCUAAGGAAUAUGAAGUUACAUACAGAAAGAAUGGGGAUUUACCAGUAAUACUGCAUGCUUUAUCUAUUAAUUCAGUUUUUGUCUCAACAGAGGUCUGAGCAUGGGUUUCUUUGCUUGCUUCAAUGGGGCUAGGGAUGUUUAAAGACUUCAUAAGAUAGCUGUUUUCCUAAAUACAUGAACUGUUUGGGGAGGACGGAGUGCCAUCUCGAAAUUCCCUGAAAUCAAACAGCAUGUAAAUACUGAGGUAACUUGUAUAAUUCAAGUGAGGAGUUUUGCUUCACUUGCACUGCUCAGUUUGUGUUACAGUACUGUAACACACACCCAACAGCUAGAUAAAUGAGACUGGGGAUUCAGGAAGGGCUAGUUAACCCUACAGAGCAAACUCCUGAGGCUAACCUGUUCUAAUGCACCCCAAACUGUUCCCAUCUCAGGUGCCAUUUGUGCAGCACUGUGCUAUAUGGACAGGUAUACUGUAUUAGCAAGUCUUGGGCACCUUAGCAAGUUGAGACGUUUCCCUCCACUUAAUUGCACAUCAGAAAUCUGGAUUAACACAGCCCUUCCUUGUUGACCUUCAAUUGACUGAAGAAUAAUACCUAUUUUCUCUAACUGCAGACUAGUGGUUAAGGCAUAUGAACGGGUUUUUGGACAUCUGAGUUCCAGUCCCCGUACAGGGGGUUACAUACUGCAUCUAAGCCUCUGCUCUGUAUCUGCUAGUCUCCAGUCUUCAGCAACACGAACUGUUGCCUACUGUAUAUUUAAAGAAUGAGACUGUGAAGCUAUGUGAGCAUGUACUAGCUACAGUAACUUGCAUUAUAGAGGUGGGACACACCUAGGGCUGCUCUCCCUGUGCUGGAGACAAGGAAGAUGUAGCCAGAGCCAGAAGGAGGGAGAAUCUAGUGUGUAUUUAUCUUGGGCAUAGCUUGGUGUAGAUGGUUUCCUGCAUCCAUUUACUUGAGCUGGUUUGCAGGGUUGAAGUUGAAAGCAAAAAAUGAAUUGAUGGACUAGGAGUUUGAUUCUGUAAUUGAUACACGUUGUAGCAAAGCCCCUGCUGACUUAAAUGAUGGUAGGCCACAAAUCCUUUCCACAAGCCUAAACCUCUGGAGAAACAAAAAAGGAGGGAAUCUUGAAAAUAGUUGUUUAAUGUUUGUGACAAACUCAGGAAAACCUCAGAAAAUGCAAGUUAGUGUGCAUGAAACACUUGAGCAAACAGAAGGGAAGACUCCAGAUCCACUCAUUCACACAAUCCCAAGGCUUUUCUAGUCUGUUACCUCUGGAUAAGCUGUUUGAAAAGACUGUGCGUUCGGUCCUGCAAAACUUGUUUGUUUUUUGUGAUAGGGUCAGGGUCAUAAGUAAGUUUCUGCUCCAGUUCCUCAAGCUUUUUGAGCUGCUGACGAACUUGCUGCAGGCUUUCAGCAAUGAUGGUGAACCUACAAUUACACAGUCCUGUUAUUUUUAGCACGUUUUCAUUGUAAUAAUGCUGAGACAGCAGCAAGGUAACCAUCCCUAAGGUUUGCAUGGGUAGCAUUGCUUGCUUAUUGGAGAUACAAUAGUAAAAUCAAUGCUCUUUAGUUAAGCUGUGACAGAAUGAAAAUAUAUAAUCAGCACAUGUGGCAUAUCUGACAGGUCUGGUAAUCUGUCAUACUUUGAGUGCCCAGCUAACACAAUCCUUGACUGGAGGCUUACCAGUUCUGUAGCUGGUCAAGACAGGCAUUGGGUGGGCCACCAAUGCAUGCAGUCUGUUGCCUACGUUUCCACUCCACCAGCUCCUCGUUAAUAAGAGCACUCUGUGUGUGCUCUGUGGUGUUCAAGAGCUGUAUUAUCUUGGCCACCACUUCCUAAAGGAAAUAUUGAAGUAAUCUGUUUAUUACGAACACUUUAUACAGAAAAAAUAACUAUUGAUUUAGCUAAUACUGUGCCUUGCAAAACUUUCCAAUGACUUCAAAGAAAUACUUUCUUUUAUCAACAGAGGAGUUCUUCUGACCCACCUACCUCUUAGUUGGAGCAUUAGCUAGGUUAAGUGGAGAAACAACAUAUAUUUACUAUCACUGACUUCUUUAGAAGUGAAGUCCAUCUACAUACCUCCCAAGUGUAUUCUUGGGACCCCCUAGUGUUUGCUGGAAAUUCGAGCACUGCAAUGAGUAAGCCUGCAGCUAUAUUUUAGUUAAGCAAACUCUUUGAUUGCUUUUUCCCCCCUUAAAAACCUGAUUAUCAAUACUACAUUUUCCUCUUGUUGUUCUCUGAGAUGUACCUGAUCAAGUUUCAUAAAGGCAGCUAGAAGAGAAAUAUUACUGCUCAGCAAUAUUCUAGAUUUCCAUUAAGGAUGGGAAGAACAAAAUGUUCCUUCAAAUGUGAGCAGAGUUUUUUGUUUAUUUUUUAAAUAGGAAUGACAUGUCAUUCCAGUGAAAGUGCUGAAAACCAAGUGCUGCUGCCUUCUGAAAGAAAACUAAGGUGUUACCUUUCUCUUGAUGUCAAGUAAGAAAAACAUCUUUUGGAGAUUCAUCUGCUCUUUCUUACAUUCCUCUUGUGAUGCACCAUUGGGCUCAUACUCUGUAAAAUAAGUCUAAAUUGUGAAUCUGAGAUUGGAAAACUGCAGCAGGACAUGGUCUUGUGAGUACAGAAAAGAAGGGGUGAGGAAAACCCAGGCUGAUAGCUCCCAUGCAGUGCCCCCAGCUACCAUUUCAACUGCCCACUGACCUUAAGUUAGAAGCACCCAUGUGCCUUAUGGAAAUGGUGCCUGCCAUGAAGUACAAAGAUGGGCUUGAUGCUCCAUUUUCCAACCACAACCCUCCUCUGAGGGCUCAUCAACUGUAAAUUUGUGUUGGAAAAUAAAGCUUUUUUUGAAACAAAAUAGUGGGGGGAAAAAAACAGCCAUAUAUACAAAAUGAACCCAGUGUAGUCAGAGUCUAUACGGUUUGCUACGUCUAGAAGUGAGUGUAGAGGACAAAAGAACACUGCAUUAGCAAAAAAAAAAACUCUUGUAAGAACAGACAAAGAAAAUCUAUUUUGGGGGAUUCAGGUUUCAGUAUAAAGCAGAACUAAUGGAGGAGGGUAAGUUUGCAUAUAAAACUUAGUUUCCUGACAUAAGAAUAAACUCUAUCUUAUGAACUGCACACAAUAAGGUAUGUCCUCAGUAAAUUACCUCUAUUCUGGAAGGUUUUAUGUUUAAAGUCAUAUUCGUCUUGCACAUCCUCUAAUGUCUUGAUGUCUUGUUCUACAUCCUAUAAAGCAUGAAUGAAGAUGGAACAAUUACUCAAUUUCACAUUAUGCAAGACUAUGUCUGACCAGGAUCUGCCUGCCAACAAACACACUCACGAAUGUCUUUUCCUGGAAUUCCCUAGCAGGAAAUAUUUCUAAAGUUAACCACUAUCUAGUUACCUUCCCUCUCUCAUUUAAGCAAAUAAAAAUCUGUCCAUGAUAAAACUCAGAAAGCCCUCAGUGCCUGGCCAUACCAGCUGAGAGAACUUAGAAGAACCUAGGCUACCAUCUGGGACAGCAUACGGCAUCUUCAACUCUUCACAAACUCUUGAGUAUUGCACUGAAAAUAGCUUACUCUUAGGAUGGUAUUUAUUAAGGCAAUAAGCACCGAUAUGUUAACAGGAGAAAAAAAAAAACUCUAUAGAUAACAAGGAAAUGUCAGACGAUAAUCUUCUAAAGAAUUUUUCCUUGGUUGCAUAGUAUUCCAUAUAGAUAUAAUGUUUUUAUUACUAUAAUUUAAGCACGAGAAAUUUGAUAUUGCCACAAUAGCCAAAUCUCAAUCUGUAUAGCAGUGCUAUUGACAAGUACUGACUUACUAUGUACCAGUGACUGAUAAUAGAGUAGAAAACCAAACAAUAGCCUAAUUUAUACUUGUUAUUUAAAGAAUACUUCAUAUAUGGAAAACUCUUUGACAUUUAUGAUUCAAUAAGCACUACUACAAAUAGAGCUGGAAUCAUACUAUACUCACUGUAACACUGUUUUUUACAGCCUUAACUUUUGCAUCAAGCUCCUUCUGUUUAUCCAGCAUCCCAGUCAUGGUGUUCUGUACACCUCCCACUUCCAUCUGAGGAAGGCAAGCAGAACAAAAUCAGAAGUCAAACAAGACUCAACUAACAGUAAAUACUUCUUAAUUAAUGUCAGUUGGUGGCUUUUGUUGACAAACAGCCUUGUUGAGGUUUUACUUGUUCUGAUAAAUCAUAGCACUCUUUUGUAAAAGUGACUUUGUGAAGAAAAAGCAAGGGUGAAGAAACAUCUUUCACAUGGAGAUGCUGCAUGUUAUGUCAUAGUAAUAAAAAGCUAUAAAAAAAACUUCUCUGCACAAAUCCUUUUUGUUUUAUUUGCUUAUCUUCAUGCAUUUUCUAAAUAUAUUCCAGGAAAACAGCAACACUGAAGGCUGGAUCACAUCUCCUUUAACUGUCUGAGUCAUCCAGUCAGGCUCUGGGGAGGAAAGUGUGAGGCACAAGAACAAGAUAGGCUGGCAUACAGGGUAAUGCAGUAUGCAGUUUCCUACAGGGCAUUAAGGCAAACUUCAGAUCUCAGUACUGGAAGGAUUCAUUUCAGAAGCUCAUAGCAUGACUUCUCUCAGGGAGAGUUGCAGUAAUUUCAAAGACAGGAUUUUUGUUCCCCGUUUAACUACUGUAAGAAUUAGAAAUACACUGUUUUGCCAUUGCAGGCAACUUACAAGCAGGCAAAGGUUCCCAGCGUAAGUUUAAGUGGGACCAUGAUGGCAAUCUGAGUAUUGUCUAACACAGGAGUCUCUCUUUUGUUUUUAUGGUGCUUAUAAGUUUGCUUGCUUUAUGGAAAUAAUUUACAAGAAAUCAGAGGGUAGGGCAUGGCGUAUCAUGUAGCGCCAACAAUAUGUGGAAGAAGAUUUAUUUCCUUUUUUUAAAUUAUUAUUAAUAGAAACAUCUGGAAUGCUGAAAAGGAAGUUUUGGGUGCUUCAUGUCAUAAGCCAGUACAGAAACUGCCAGCUGCACUUCAGCUAUGAGGAAAGUAUCUGGGAAUGGCUUUGCCAGAGUUACAUAUUUAAAAGAGCUAUUUUGGACACAGCUGCAUUAGGAGGAUAGUUGAAAGCCUAAGCUCCAGUGCUCUUAGUUCUCUCUAUAACACUAUCAAAAAUUUGCUGUAAAGGGAAGAAUUUCUGUCUCAGAAUGUAAUGUGCUCAGUCAGUUACAGUUACAUUAGUAGAUUGGAUUGAGCUAUGUAGUUUACAUAGCUUUCCUAACUGCGGAUUUCUUUAUUGCAACACAGUUCUUGGAAAGGAAAACCCAAACAGAUGCACUGCCAAAGAAUUGAUGAGGAGAAGAACAUCCUUUGCCUAUGGUUCAGUGGUUCAGUUUAAAAUACAUACAUAAAUAUUGAGCGUAGCUGGGAAGGAAGAAUAGCACCACUUUGUGAGUCAGUCCAGAGACCCAUUACAGCUCAACUCGUCAAUAAAGAGUAAAUCAGGAGUAAAAUGGAAAAGGAAGGAAGCUGAAAUCUUGUUGGAGAAGUAAAGCAAACACUAUUUAUUAAAAUGUAAUGAGAUCUGAUGAGCACGUUAGGCCAUACUAAGAAUUAAAACCAGUUGUUCACAUUACUCAAAAAAAAAAUCAAGAUUACUUUCUGGCCCUUUCCCCUUCUGAAUAGCUCAUGCUACUCAAACCAGCUGGUAUCCCAAGUAAUAGGAAAGGUAGACACAAACGCAGAGGACAUUUCAAGACUAACUUACCUGAUUAGACAAUUGUGCACUGUUCAAAAUUUUUCUCUCCUCUUUCAGACAGUUGUGAAUUAUCAUUGCCAUGUGUAUCGGGUCUUCUUGGAAGUUAUCCUGAAGAUUACGUUUGCUUUUCCUUAUGUUGUGUUGCAGCAAAAAGUUGUUUUCUAUCAAAAAUCGGCUAAAUUGAUCAUCAAGCUGUGACAGCAGGUCAUGGAAUAGCACUGUAGCAAAAGAUACGUUGUUGGCUGCGUGUUCCCAAUCCUGGUUUUCCAGCCACUGUGCCAAGUACUGCCUGAUUUCCAUAGGAAAGCUGUCAUCGUACAGCUGGUGAACUUGCUCCAAAAACUUGGAGUCAAGUUGCUGUAGCUGGUACCACUGAGUCAUCCUGGGAAGUGGGGAAUAAAAGCAGCAUUAAUGUAAAUGCUGAGGUUAAUAUUGGAGCUGAGCUGGUGAAAAGGCACUCAUUCCAAGUUUUCAUUAAAAUAGUAAAAUUGAAGGUCAUAGUAAAAUUGAAGGAAAAGUGUUCUAGCAAACAGAAGCAUGUUUUGUUUGUAGAUGAAAUGGAAUAAGCUAACAAUCGUUCAACUUCUUCUGUGCCGCUUUUAAUUACGAAAAUUGCAAAUUAAGACUGUCCUCACACUAGGUGCAUUGAUAGAAGUCAGUCAAAACUUAAAUCACUCUUUCCUAUGAGAAGUUGCAUUUUUUUCCUCUGAACACGCUCCUUUAGGGGAGCAGUUAGGUCAGGGCUUGAAGGGGUGAUGGAGCACCUGGUGAAGGGCUGUGUCUGGCCCAGGGAGCACAAAUUGUUUGCACCUGUGCUCCCCAGCUGACAAGAAGGGUGAGCUAAGAGUGGAGCCACCCAUGGCUCAUUUAAAGGCCAGCCAGGGAAAGGGGAGCAUCUUUUGGACCUGGGCUGCUUCAUGGGGGAGUACUGUAUUGCCAGAGAGCCCCUUCACCAGCUGGGUCAGUCUGACUCUUCUUUCUGUAUAUGACUAUUGGCCUACCUGUUGAAUACUUUGUCUGGUAUUGUUGAGAAUCCAUAAGAAGCAGUUUUGCUUCCUUAUAUUCAGUCUGAAUCUCCCCUCUUUUAGUUUGAAGCCUUUCCCCUUGCCCUGUCACAACAGACCCUGCUAAAGAGCUUGUCUCCUUCCUUUGCACAGCCUUUCAGAUGCUGCCGGGCUGCUUUCAGGUUACCCCGAAGCCUUCUCCUACCCUCCCUAGGUUGCACUUUCCUUU